GAGCUUGUGGCAGGAAGGUUUAUUGAUGCCCGGGUGGGGGAAAAUUUGGGUGUGGAGUGAGCACUAGUCAUGUCAACAAUAGUUUAAAUCCUCAGCCUUGUUCUCCGUACAUAGAUGACUGAAUUAACCUAAUCUAAUUGUUGAUGAAUUGACACAAGCCUAUUAAUUUCUUUUGGCUUUAUGAAGCUGUUGUCAUAGCAACAAACCAAACCUGCAAACGUUUAGUUUACUCACACUUAGCUGGGCCGAGACUUCUGUGGGUGUAUUUGUUUUAAUUCUCACAAUAAUUAGUAAAAUCAACUACAGAAUAGUUCACAUGAAGAAAAGAGCUUCACUGUGAACAAAAGAAAUAUGUGUAUUCAUGCCCAAGUUUGAUCGUUAAUCAGCUUUUGGAGAGAUUUUGGCAGUUUCAUAGCUGGUUAGUGUGGUUAAAGCAACAUUGUGUAAAGUUUCCGGAUGGACAGUGAAGUAGCUGUAGCCACUGUUAGCUCAGAGCACUGGGUGCGAGUGUUAGGCCUAGCGUUUGUACCACCAGGAAGAGGAGGUUUUUAGGCGGGAAGCAGGAGACAGUGUCGUGCCAGAAUCGAAGCUGGACCAAAGGUGACUUCCGACAGAGGAAGCUAAGAAGAAAAAAGGAGGGAGUGACCGAGCAAGAAGCCGCCUUGUUGGUGAGAGCUUGGUGAAAUAAAAGGCUAAAAGACGGAUGCCGAGCUGGACUGACUGCUUUUAGACAAGUGGGUGCCGUCACAUUUGGCUUGUUUGGGGCAUCAUUCAGCUUCACCCAUGCUGCAUGACUUUGCCUGUUUGAGGCCUGCCAAGAUGGUGUCAGCCAGAGCCACCACACCCUGAGUUUCACAACGGCUGUUCGGAAAGCGGGUAGUAUGGUGGUGCAGUAGUCUCACAGCAAGAAGGUUCACUGGUCCGAAGCCCCCCAGCCGUUCUGCAUCAGAGCCAGCCCCGUCUUGAUUCCAGCCUUUUCUUCAAUGCUCUUUACCUCCAAACAACAACACUGCGGAGGGAGCCCUGAGGGGCUACAUCGAGGGUGGAUGCUGUGUUGCUGUUACAAAUGAUCCUGUGGGAGACUUACUGACAGCCAAGCUCGGUGUGGCUCCACAUGCCUCAUCACCACACACACACACACACACACACAUCACAUCGCUGCAGCUGCCCACGGUGAGUGAGGCAUGUUGGUCCCAGAGUAAACUCCCACUACAUAUCCUGUCAGCUCAGAGAAAGUGUCAAUCAGCUUGUCCAAGUCAGCUAAAGAGAUGUGUCUACGCCAGCAAAAUAUACUUGACUAGCUGUCCUUCCUGACUUCUGACAGCAAAUAACACUGUUCUCGCCUGAACAAUGCCUCUUUUCUAGUUUUUAAACUUUAUCGAUCGACGGAUGGAGUUUUGCUGAGCAUUUUCUCCACAGUUUCCCACCUGGGAACUGCCCACUACAAACACACUCAGCAUUUAAAUCUGGACAUUAUUUAGAGAGUUAGCCAACGUAAAGUUCAAUACAAUUAAAUGACUUCUGGGAACCUCAGUGAACGUACUAUUCAUUUAUUUCCCUCCUCUGAAUGUCAUGAUUUACACGGCACCUGUCCACUGACUGUUGUCUUUGGGUGUUGUGGCCUGUGACAUCAUCAGCCUAAUUAAUACCGCUGAGCAAACAGCUGCCACACCUGACAUUAAUCAGCUGUUGUUCAACACCUCUAUCUGUGCUGCUGGAGCCAACAAAUAUCAACAAAAGUAGGUUGUUUUACCCAAGAGACAACACGUUUAUGAUGAACAACAUGCCUUCUCAUGACUAAGCAGCUUUAUAGAUAG